rnacentral:misc_RNA from 1 species
GUCGACGGCAACGGCGGCUGCUACCGACGAGAAACGUGGCGCGCGACGCUCAUCGGUCCUACGUUAGAAGAGAGAGAAUCGCGGCCGCCUGUUGCUACUUCACUACACGGAGGAGCCCCUCUGCCGUCCCCUAUCCGUGUUGCGCAUUCACAGUCAGAAUCUCUCGUACGUAUCUGUCGUGUUUUCGUGCACGGUUUUUGCAUUCGACGAGUUUCCGCUUGCUGUUUCUAGUGACGGUGUCUCUCGCACGAGAGUGAAAAUAAACUAAUUAAACGACUCGAAGAGCGAAAACGUUGAUACCAAAAAAAAAAGAAAACGAAAAAAUAAACGAAACAGAACGAAAUAAAGCAAUAUCGAGGGUGAGAAAGAGUCACCUAUGUCCAGUCGUAUGUUGUUCAAGAGGAGAAGAAAGUAGAAGCAGAGAGGAAAUCGUGGAAAGAGGGUGACACGUGCGUGUACGCACCGCAUUUGACACAGGCACACAGACAUACACACCAGUGACGCGCAGCAGAGAGAGAUUCAGAGAGCGAGGACGCAGGUUGUCAGACUUGUGUGGUGAUCGUCCUCGUGGUUGCUUGCGACGUCCUUGUGGCACAUGUGCCGUGCAGCGACAUAGGACAUUCGUUGGUCAGCCACGCAUAUGGAUCAUAG